CCACGUCACAUUAAUAAUUCAGACCAAUCAUAGAGUUGUAUUGUGCCAUGUCAUAUGUUCCUCACACAUCCAAAAUUAGUUCGACGACUUCGUCUUCCUCCUUUUCCUCGAAGAAAUCCCAACCGUUUCACCUCUUCUCCUCUGUAACAUUAAAAUUGUGACUCAUAAAGCUUUAUCAUUUAGUGCAAUCACUAUAUAAUCUACCUCUUCACAUCCAAUUUUGCUGAGGAGAAGAAGAACUACAACGUAGAAUCUAUAUUUCCCCGGUCAUGCCAAUGUCAUCAACUCUGGAUCAAGCGCUAAAUCUCUGUCAUCAACCAAACACUGAUCAUGAAGAAAUCAGCAAACUCCCAUCUUCAAAAGCCAAGGAUAACAGAAAGUCAUCAUCCAACUUUCCAGACUUCUGCAACUGGUCUCCAUGAGCUCCAAACUACGUGUUUAUCCUAAUCGUUAAGUUCUCAUUCUUUGGGUUCUUGAUCUUCCAUUACAUCAGAUUCAUCACCGUUAAAUCCUUCAAGAUUUUCUAACAGCGAGAUGGCUUCACCAAAAUGGAACUGAGGUGAAACACAGUCUGGAAACUCAAAUUCCUAUUGGCUCCACCUUCAUCACCAUCGGUAUCCAAAGAAGCCAGUGCCGUCCUAAUACUUUGAUAGUGAUUAAGUUGAGGCUUGAGGCGUAUUGAUGGCACAACGACCAGAUUGUUCUACUUCAUAUGAUAGUUUAGUCGGAUCCUGUAACACACUUUUGAGAAUAACCAUUUACAAGUACCUACUGCUUAAUCCACGAAAGUCUUUUGUCUCCACGGGAAGGUCUCCCAUCGUCCUGUAUUAUAACAAUCAAGGGAGUUAGGCAUGGAUAUAAGAUCAGAACGAUUGUUGGUUUUGAAGCAUAACCCGUGUUCCGAUCAUGUCAGAGCUCCCAAAACAACACGGAUGACCAUAGUCAGAAUCAAGUACAGUUCCGUCUACCAAGGGUAAGUGACAAUCACUUCUAGGGAACCAUCUCAGAGUGUAUUGGCAACUGGUCUCAGCUUAAAAAUCUUUGAUUAGCAAAUGGAAACUAAAGCAGGACUCAUGUUUAAAGCGAUUUUUUUUAUAAGACUGGCACAAUAGAACACAAACUGUGUGUGAUCUGGCGUGUAGAAAAGGACUUGACGUCCUCGACCUUCCACCUGAUAUCCAACCACACUCGAGAAGGAGUACUUCAAGAACCAUCAUUGUCUCUAAAAUCGUACAUGGGAAAACUCUCCAUAAGUUUGGGGCAUGUAACUGGUACACUGAUACGUACUCCUGCAGGAUAUGUACAUUCUUAGAUGUUCAUUUUCUUCAUCUUAUUUAGAUUAAAGGGGCAGUAACCUUGAAGAAGAUGAUAGGGAUGGGUUUUCCUUUGUUAGACGUGAUAUACCCGUAACCCGCCACUAGCGCUGAAAAGCCUUCUGGCUAAGGUUGUGAAGUUGUUCAGCCGUCUACUAAGCUUCUGCCAGUUGCUCAGAUGGGAGUUGUUGCUCGGAGUUGAAUGUAUCUUCCACAUAAUUGGAAUCGCACAUGACAAAUCAAGUUGGCUUCUCGAUGACGUCCUGCAGUCAUUUAUGAAAGCUCAUGGACCUCUGAAGAUAUCAACAAUUGGGAAUUGGUCAGUUCUCUUACAGUGUCAGAUGACUUUCUGUGCUGCUAUUGUGCCAAAUACCAAACGUAUCAGUGUUAAACUUAGUAAAGCUAAUACAAUCCAACUUUUCUUCUUUGUAUGUGUUCUUUACAUUAAAAGAACAAGAUUCUCCGGUGA